rnacentral:rRNA from 1 species
CGCGUAGGCGGCUUUUUAAGUGAGGCGUGAAAGCCCUGGGCUUAACCCCAGGAGGUGCGUUUCAUACUGAAAAGCUUGAGUACGAGAGAGGAAAGUGGAAUUCCUAGUGUAGAGGUGAAAUUCGUAGAUACUAGGAAGAACACCAGUGGCGAAGGCGGCUUUCUGGCUCGUAACUGACGCUGAGGCGCGAAAGCGUGGGGAGCAACA